AUUCAUUUUCUAAGAAGCAAAAUCUUGGCAGUUAGCUCUGUGAGUUAAGAACCUAGAGAAAAAUAAAAUGAACACCACACAUCUGAUUUAAUCAUUCUCUAAAGAGUGAACACAGGACAGCUGAUUUAAUCACUUAAUAAAGAAUUGUUAUCGUAAGCAAGGAGCAUAAAGUCUAAUAUAAAAUGAACAACUCUACCAUAUUUGAUUAUUAGCCCAUGGCAAAGAUCUUGAGUUUUACCUCUUUGGAUAAAGAGAGAAGAGAUCUAUUCGUUGUCCAAUGAUGAAGAUCUUAGCUGUUACUUCUGUAGGUAAGGAGCAAU